CUCACAUUUUACAUAAAAUAUGCAGCAUCUUCUGAUUUGUAAUACUGCUCUUUGUGAUUUCCAGAUCCACACUGACACAUCUCUGAGGUUCAUGCUGGAGAGGUUUCUGCAGCUAAUUACAUUUUCACCCUCACAGGGGCUAAUUACACAACAUUCCAGAUCAAAUACACAAGACUGAUCAUCUGAAACUGGGCACCCGAAACGGUCCCAAGCGCUGGGGCGGAUUGGUCACUUCUUAAACGACCUUCUGCUUUUUGGGGAGUUGAAACCAGAAACUUCAGGACACAGAAACUUCAGACCAGAAACUUUGCAGCAGAGCCAAGACAGGACAGCAUCUCUUCCAUCAGUUCAGCAGCAGAUUCAGUGUGCAGGGCUUUGCCUCGUGUUUUCAAAGACUGUGGGAAGAGCCAGGGAUGGGACAGCCGAGGUCAGAAGUUUGACUGUUUCAGGGGUACAGGUUGGGAGCAUUUUGUACUUCAGCCGCUCUGGAUUAUGAAUCCUUUGGACACUGAAUCUCUCCUGUCCUUUUUAGGAAGGGAUUGGAGGGGAAUUUAAACAUGAGAAGAAAGGUUCAGGUAUGGAUUUGACAGCUAGAAAUUGUUUGUGCAGCGCUUUGUCCCAGGACUGAACAUGGUGUCCCACCAAAGCUCAAGGCCAAAACAAUUUGCUCUGUUGGGUAUUUAACAAUCAGGAUACUUCAGGCAGCUGAAAGCCAGGACAGCUUUGACAGCCCAGCUACAACAGUUGGUCAGAAGAGCAAACACUUCCAAGGUAAUGGCUUUUAACAGUAAAACUGUGCUGCUGCUGCUGCUGAGACUGAAUUCCAGCUCCCUCCUGUGAAAGAAGCUCCCAGGACAAAAGCACCAUUUUCUCUGCUUAUACCUCCAUCUGCACAAGGUGCUUUUGCUGGCACAGCUCUGCCUUCAGAGGAUCUUAUCACAGCCGUGACUGACACAACUGUGCCCGGAGAGUCAGUGGUGGAGCCCUGACCUGAAAAUACCCUGGCUCAGCUGCAGGGUUAACACCCAGCUGGGAAUAAAAAGAGGGACUCACUGAGUCCACUUUCUCAGCUGUCCUGAAAGCCAUGCACAGCCUGGGUAGGAAACCAUUGUUCUUUGGGAAGGAGAUCCCUCUGCUCUUUCAGCUGUUGUAUUUUGGGGAAUGGGUUUGGUCUAAAGGAGAACAUUUGGGGCCCAACAAAGUGCUGCAUUUAUUUACAAAAAAUUGUUAAAAAUU